AUUGAACGCUGGCGGCAGGCCUAACACAUGCAAGUCGAGCGGAUGAGAGGAGCUUGCUCCUUGAUUCAGCGGCGGACGGGUGAGUAAUGCCUAGGAAUCUGCCUGGUAGUGGGGGACAACAGUUGGAAACGACUGCUAAUACCGCAUACGUCCUACGGGAGAAAGCAGGGGACCUUCGGGCCUUGCGCUAUCAGAUGAGCCUAGGUCGGAUUAGCUAGUUGGUGAGGUAAAGGCUCACCAAGGCGACGAUCCGUAACUGGUCUGAGAGGAUGAGCAGUCACACUGGAACUGAGACACGGUCCAGACUCCUACGGGAGGCAGCAGUGGGGAAUAUUGGACAAUGGGCGAAAGCCUGAUCCAGCCAUGCCGCGUGUGUGAAGAAGGUCUUCGGAUUAUAAAGCACUUUAAGUUGGGAGGAAGGGCAGUAAGUUAAUACCUUGCUGUUUUGACGUUACCGACAGAAUAAGCACCGGCUAACUUCGUGCCAGCCGCCGCCGUAA
rnacentral:rRNA from 1 species